AUGCUUGCAGAUAAGAGCCAUGGCAUAAGAUGAAUUUCUCUCCGUGAGUUCAAAUGCCAUGAGCCCACCAACAUAGAACAGUUCGUCAGGCAUACCUUGGCUACCAACAUGGGGGAAGUACUUGAAUCUUCUCUGGAGAACUUCUUCCUCAACUUUUGCCCCCAAGGACAUGACUACCUUCUUGGCUAGGUCAGCGACUGUUGGUCCCUUUAUAUCGAAAGAGUUCCCAUAGGACCAAAAUAAGAAAAUGUCAGUGUCAGCAUAGAAUUUCUGCAUCGCAACGGGAUGUCCAAUUGUUGCAGGAUCUUCCAUAUAUUCACCAAAGUAAUAAAAUCCAACUGGCAUGUCUUCUAGCCCUUUGAUCUUUAAAACAGUGGUGUAGUAGUCGAUUGUCUGAACUUUUCUGAAGAAAUAUCUUUCGACUUCACUGAGAUCCAUCACUUCAGUCUCAGAUUCUGCAACAUGAAUACCUUGUUAGCCAUUUCCUGAAAGGAGAGAGGAACUUAUAAGGUGGAAAUCUAGAGGUAUGAAGUUCAAGAAACCUGUAGAUUUUUCUGCUGGAAAUCUGUAAGUAUUUCCAUUUCUGAAAGGAAAUGAACCAGAGAUAAUUAUCUUAUCAAA